rnacentral:rRNA from 1 species
ACUCAAAGGAAUAGACGGGGGCCCGCACAAGCGGUGGAGCAUGUGGUUUAAUUCGAUGCAACGCGAAGAACCUUACCAAGAUUUGACAUCCUUUCGACAGGCUUAGAGAUAAGCAAUCCUUUCGGGGCGAAAGAGACAGGUGGUGCAUGGUUGUCGUCAGCUCGUGUCGUGAGAUGUUGGGUUAAGUCCCGCAACGAGCGCAACCCUUAUCCUUAGUAGCAACCGGGUAGAGCCGAGCACUUUAAGGAGACUGCCGUGGAUAACACGGAGGAAGGCGGGGAUGAGGUCAAAUCAUCAUGCCCUUUAUGUCUUGGGCCACACACGUGCUACAAUGGCUACAACAAAGUGAAGCAAGUGGGCGACCACAAGCCAAGCACAAAAAAGUAGUCUCAGUUCGGAUUGCAGUCUGCAACUCGACUGCAUGAAGCUGGAAUCGCUAGUAAUCGCGGAUCAGCAUGUCGCGGUGAAUACGUUCCCGGGCCUUGUACACACCGCCCGU